rnacentral:rRNA from 1 species
CCCGGUGGGAACACGGGGGGACCACCCUCCAAGCCUAAAUACUACCUGGUGACCGAUAGCGUAUAGUACUGUGAAGGAAUGGUGAAAAGAACCCCGGGAGGGGAGUGAAAUAGAACCUGAAACCCUGUGCUUACAAGCACUGAGAGCACGUCAAUGUGUGAUCGGGUACCUUUUGUAGAAUGGUCCGGCGAGUGAAUGUGGCUAGCAAGGUUAAGGACUUAAGGUCUGGAGCCGAAGGGAAACCGAGUCUUAAUUGGGCGCCAAAGUUAGUCGUAUUCGACCCGAAACCGGGUGACCUACCCAUGUCCAGGUUGAAGUGGAGGUAAAACUCCAUGGAGGACCGAACGCACGCCUGUUGAAAAAGUCGGCGAUGAGGUGUGGGUAGCGGAGAAAUUCCAAUCGAACCCGGAGAUAGCUGGUUCUCUCCGAAAUAGCUUUAGGGCUAGCCUCAUUUUAGAUUACCGGGGGUAAAGCACUGAAUUGGCUAGGGGCCGAGAGGUUACUGAACCAUAUCAAACUAAGAAUACCGGAUAAUUGAUGAAUGGGAGUCAGACUACGUGAGAUAAGUCUCGUGGUCAAAAGGGAAACAGCCCAGAUCCGCAUCUAAGGUCCCUAAAUAUGGUUAAGUGGAGAAGGAUGUGGGGUUGCACAGACAACCAGGAUGUUGGCUUAGAAGCAGCCACUCAUUAAAAGAGUGCGUAAUAGCUCACUGGUCGAGUGACCCUGCGCCGAAGAUUUAACGGGGCUAAACCAUAUACCGAAGAUCGGGAUGCAUCGCAAGAUGCGUGGUAGGAGAGCGUCGUGUACGGGGUGAAGUCGUAGCGAAAGCGGCGGUGGACUUUACACGAGUGAGAAUGCCGGAAUAAGUAGCGAGAAUUAUGUGAGAAUCAUAAUGGCCGAAAGCCUAAGGUUUUUGAAGGAAGGUUCGUCCGCUUCAAGUUAGCCGGGAGCUAAGGUGAGGCCGAAAGGCGUAGCCGAUGCACAUACGGUGGAUAUUCCGUAGCCGCCAAAAGAUUUAAGCAGGGGGACACCCUGAAAGGGCAUGACCCGGGCGAUGGUAGCCCCGGGCGAAAGGGACCGAAAUUAUAAGUAGGGAAGCAUGCUUAGACGGGGGCGAGAAAAGCCCUGUGUAUAUCUUAGGCGCCCGUACCGCAAACCGACACAGGUAGGCAGGAAGAGGACUCUAAGGCCAACGGGAGAAGAGUUGUUAAGGAACUCGGCAAAUUGACCCCGUAACUUCGGGAAAAGGGGUGCUCUCGAAAGAGAGCCGCAGUGAAUAGGCCCAGGCAACUGUUUAGCAAAAACACAGGUCUCUGCUAAAUCGAAAGAUGAAGUAUAGGGGCUGACGCCUGCCCGGUGCUGGAAGGUUAAGAGGAGAUGUGCAAGCAUUGAAUUGAAGCCCCAGUAAACGGCGGCCGUAACUAUAACGGUCCUAAGGUAGCGAAAUUCCUUGUCGGGUAAGUUCCGACCCGCACGAAUGGCGUAAUGAUCUGGGCACUGUCUCAACAACUCACCCGGCGAAAUUGUAGUACCGGUGAAGAUGCCGGUUACCCGCAACAAGACGGAAAGACCCCAUGGAGCUUCACUGCAGCCUGAUAUUGGGUUUCGGUAUCUUAUGUACAGGAUAGGCGGGAGACUGGGAACCAGAGGCGUCAGCUUCUGGGGAGUCAUCGGUGGGAUACCGCUCUUAAGGUACUGGAAUUCUAACCUGCGGCCAUGAAUCUGGUCGGGGGACAUUGUCAGGCGGGCAGUUUGACUGGGGCGGUCGCCUCCAAAAGAGUAACGGAGGCGCUCAAAGGUUCGCUCAGCACGGACGGAAACCGUGCAUAGAGUGUAAACGCAUAAGCGAGCCUAACUGCGAGACUGACGGGUCGAGCAGUAACGAAAGUUGGAGUUAGUGAUCCGGCGGUAUGUGAGUGGAAAUGCCGUCGCUCAACGGAUAAAAGCUACCCUGGGGAUAACAGGCUGAUCUCCCCCAAGAGU